AUUUAUAACAACUUUAAGUUUGAAGAAGGUGAAAGCCUGAAAUUAAGUAAAAUACUGACUAAAUUUGAGGAACACUGCAUACCAAAAAGGCCUGAAGUACAAACAUGAGAGGUGCUGUAUUGGCUGUGG